rnacentral:lncRNA from 1 species
GAAACCCUGUCUCGAAAACAACAACAAAACCAAAAAAAAAACCAAACCAGUUUGUAACAUAGACUAGACUUGCACUUCCAAUCCCUCUGCCUCUGUCUCCUCAGUGCACUGCAUCCAGCUUCAGGGGUCUUUCCUCCUGGCCAGACUACCAAGUAUUAAAACGUUAAAAGUAACCGUGGGAAGAUGGGACGACAGAUAGGAAGAAAGUGAGGAUGGUCUGGAAUGUGUGUGCUCAGCCUUCAGUUUUUAUGGAGUGUUAUAAUGAAGCCCAUCAUUUUCUACCAUAACCUAAAAGUUCAUAAGAAAGAAAAAAAAUUAUAUAUAUUUACUUUCUUUAUAUGAGUACACUGUAGCUGUCUUUUUGUGUGAGUGUAGUUGUCUUCAGACACACCAGAAGAGAGCUUCAGAUCCUGUUACAGAUGGUUGUGAGCCACCAUGUGGUUGUUAGGAAUUGAACUCGGGACCUCUGGAAGAUUAGACAUGUUCUUAACCACUGAGCAAAGGUUUAUUCAUCCAUUGUGUAUAUGUAUUUCACUGUUUCUUUAUUCAUCCAUUGAUGAACAUUGAGUUACUGUACACUUUAAUUCAAAGAUAAUUCAAAGAGCUGGAUUCUUGGUGAAGAACAUAUACUGCUCUUCCGUAGGACCCAGGUUCAGUUGCCUGGCAUCCACAUGGUGGUUAGCAACCGUCUAUAACUCUAGUUCUAGGGGAUUUGAUCCCUUUUCUGGUUUCUGUAGACACCAGGCUCACAUAUGCUACAUAUACAUGCAUACUGGUAAAGUACUCAUGCGUAUGAAAUAAAAAUAAGCAGCAUUUUAUUAAAAUGAAGACUGAGAGUGUUGCUCAGUGGUGGAGCACUCCUACCACCACUAGGAAGAAGGAGACAUAUUCUAAACACUCUUUCCUUCAGAGAGUCAAGAUGGCUGGUCCUGUUCAGCUGGAUCGUGGAUGAGCUGUGCUCUCUGGCAUGCGUUUGGCGCACUAAGGUUCCUCUGCUUAGGCUUCUGGUACCAGUUAGGAAGCUCUGAUGGGCAGCGCUCUGGCCACUACAGAUGUUCACACCUUCUGCAGAGCAGUCAGUCCGGCACGCUCUUCUGGGAGCAUUGCUAGCAUUCUCAUGCUUCUAGUCUGUCCUCCACAGGUGGGAGCUCCGUUCAGUGCUUUUGACAUGGACAUGUGUUGAGUCAUGUGGCCAUUGCUAAGUCCCAGGGGAAAUGGGCGUGAUGACUCUGGACUGUCACUUUAGUGAGCUGUGUGUUGGGGAGAUAGCCAGUAUGCUUGGAAUUACCGGUCACAGCAGUCCUUGUGGCUGUAAAGGAUUUAGGUGUCUCCUAAUUGUUCUCUUGCUGCUGUUGUUGUUUGGUUGGUUGGUUUUGGUUAGCUUUUCAAUAUCUUUAUAUGCCACAUACAUUUAUUCAGAACUUAUUUUAACUCUGAUGAGAGAAAAGU